UAGAAUUUAGUAUAAUUGGAUGUACGCAGGGUUUUGGGCCCUGUGGUGCGGGUUCGAUGCCCGUUGUUCUAA
rnacentral:tRNA from 1 species